GCCUGUUGCACUUCUCUCUCUCCCUUCCCUCAAUCAUCUCUCUCUAUGCCCACUCUCAACCGUCCAUCUCUUUUCUCACACUGUCCCUAAUGCUGCUUCCUCAAUCUUCUCUCUUUCAGCUUUUUCUCUCUAAAAUUUUGGGUUUUUACCUCUGCCUCUUUUCUUCAGGGGAGCGAUACAGCUUCUGCAAAGGUGCAUAAACAGAAGAUGAGCAGCCAAAGCUAGCUCUAACUGGUUCCCUUUUCUCUUUUAUUCUCUUCUUUUUCUUUUUUACCUUUUAUUCUCUCGUCCUGGUUUCCCGGUUUCAGAUUUAAAACCGAGUGCAAUAUAUCCACUGUCUAUUUUAUUGGAUGGUAGAUUAGAGUGAAGCUCUUAUUGUGAGAUUUGAGCUUCGGCUCUAUCUUGGCUACCUACCCCUCCUUACCCAUUACAUUCACGGAGGGCAAAUGAAAUGGUUAGUCUACUUUUUAUAAUCUUGGGCUGGAUUUGGAAGUACAACCAUUCUUUUUCUCAAGAGAGUGGUAAGUUUCAUCUUUCACUUUCUAAACUUUUGGGCUUUCUCUCACUAAACUUUUCAUUCUAUGGUUUUAGAUCUUGAUUUAAGGUCUGGAUUUGGAAGUACAGCCAUUGUUUUAGGUUUGAAUGUAUGAAUUAGAGUGGAUCUUUCUCUCUCUGGUGGAUUUUGAAUGGAUGAAUUGGAGUUUUUAUUUUUCAUCAUCAACAGUAGGGGCUGGACUUUGAAGUACAACCAUUUUUUCUCUUAAAAGGGUGGUCAUACAUACUACGCUUGGUUAUUACAACAUUUGGUCUUGUUGGAUUAUGGCAUCACAAUGAGGUCUAGAGUGUUCAAGAACUAUUGCUUGCAUUUGAAGAAGGAGGUGGGGCUUAAAUGUCCAGCGGCAUAGAUUGGUCUGUAGAAAGUACAACAACUAAGAUAACAUGACUUUGGAUCGACAUAGAUUGGCCUUAAAUGUUGCGGUAUUGCAAUUGUUUGAUAUUCUAUGUCAAAAAGUUUGGCAACUAAUUUGAGGGUCUCCACUUUAUUGAUAUGGGAAUGUAAUAACCUUUUCAUGAUGACAAGUGCUUGUUAAAGACUAUGCUAUCAAUUGAUAGUUAUGUAAAUUUAUAGACGAUUUCAAUUUGUUAAAGAAUGUGCUGUCAUUUUGAUUGAUGCACGUAUUAGUUCCA